UUUGACGCAAAUCACCAGCGGCGACCGCUGGGCGAUGACCAAUCAUAUCGAGUGGUUUCCAUGACGAAUAUGACGCUAUGCAUCCAAGGCUGGAGACUUUCUUACAUUUACAUUUACAUUUAAGUCAUUUAGCAGACGCUCUUAUCCAGAGCGACUUACAAAUUGGUGCAUUCACCUUAUGACCUCCAGUGGAACAGUAGUGCAUCUAAAUCUUUUCAGGGGGAGGGGGGGUGAGAGGGAUUACUUUAUCCUAUCCUAGGUAUUCCUUAAAGAGGUGGGGUUUCAGGUGUCUCCGUUCUUCAGUAAAGAUGGCUGACAAAAAUAUUAGGAAGUGAUAACGUAUCAGGGACUCCUGAAACAACCAGUAAACCAGGCUGUCGUCUUGUGAAACAGUGGGUGUAAAGAAUCUAGCGAGCUAAAGCAUUCACUGCAAAUUUAAUGUACAAUUUUGUAAGCUUUCCUUGCUAAUAUUUGCCAUGUAAUGCAGAUGAAGUAACGUAGCUAGCGAACUGUUUUCUUGCUUAUUGUGCAGUAGAGGAUAAACAUACACGUAUGCCUACGGAUGUGUAGCUAGCUGUGUCUACAUGUUUGUAUUACAAUUAUACACUUAAACAGUGUUUACCAAUCUUGGUCCUGGGACAUCAAUGGUUACACAUUGUAACUAUGCAAUAGACUAGAAACAGGAUUUUACUAGUUAAGGCUGAUUUGUAAAUACAGAAAUAUCAUUUAAAAAAACAAUACACUACACUUCCUAUGCAUCAUGUAAGUACUCUAAAACAGGUACAUGUCAAGAUUUAAUUUCCUUCAUCUGCAUUGAUCUGAUAAACACAGGAUAAGUGUACUAUUUAAUCAAAUGAGACUUAAUUUCAGCCAGUAGAGAAUGUGAAUAGAGAAUAUUAUCGCAGUUAAUCACAAUGACAUAAUAGUGUCUUUAGUGGUUUCUCCAAACUAGCCUUGGGCCCCUAGUUGGCCCGAAGGUUCACUUAAGAGUGGCGGAGGUGGUGAUGACGGUACUUGGGAUUGGCAUCCUGUCUCACAUCAAAACAUACCUGCAAAUGAGAGACAAAGCAUGAUUAUGCCUUGUUUUUCUAUUCUAAUACUGCCAGUCAUCAUAAAAAUCAGGAGGUGAAAUGACAAACUGACCUUGCAUCAUUAACUCUGGGACUUCUACAUUUCUAUCUGUAUUUCAAUGUAAAACAUCUCUUUAAUAGUACUUCCUGUUGACCCGACCAAGUGACCUCUCACCUCUGAUCAUGCUGUGCCGUCUAUGUAGCCUGUUCAGAUGCGGGAGGGGUUUACCGACACAGCUGAUAUAACGGAGAGGAUGAAGUGAAGAAGAGAGACUGUUAUUGAGAAAAUAGAGUCUUCCAGCCAUGUGGAGGAUUGCCUGGUUGCCAAAGUGUGUUUGUCACCAGAGCGGUUAGAGCAUAUUACUAUUUACCUGGGAAUAAAUACAUUAAACAGAAAAUGUAUGAAACUUUUUAACCAUUUAAUAACUAGACCUUCAUGCAAACUUGCUAUGCUGAAUUCUUGACGCACAAUCAAACAUGCUGCUUGCUAUAUGCUGCAAGCACGCCUACAACCGAGCCAAUCUGGGAGGCUGGAGUGGCACAUGGAAAUUUACCGCGUACUAAAUGUACAAUUCAAAAACAAAAAAAUGCUCCAUGUUCUCCAUAGUAAAUGUGCUCCAUGUUCUCCAUGUACUGUCAGUAUCAUACACAGUUACUGGUCCCAGAGAACCAACAUCAUGUUUUGUACCAGCAGAGGGAGCACAUGACUAAGGAAAUUACAAUUAAAAAAUGGGGUCUAAAGAAGCUUUCCACUGAGCUGAAAUAAAUAAAUUAGGAAUAAAAUAUUACAUUCACAGAAAAAAAUGUAAAGUCAAAAAAAUGAUUACUCUAAUAUCGCUCCUCUUUCAGUAAGUAAACAGUAGCACAAUUAAUAUAUCUGACCGACCAAAAGGUACAGACAGUGAACCCAGUCACACUACGUCGCUAAUUCCAAUGUGACAUCUACUGUAAAAGCCGAAAGUCAGACACUAGCCAGGCUCAGACCAACAUGGAAGAGUUGCCGUUGUUUAUAAAAAGUUUUUCUUUAUACUGUGGAAAUACUCACACUCAAACUGAAAUCAUAUAAGUGUACAAUCAAUUAGUGAGAGAGUGCCUGAAACAUAACAUUAAUUUGUAUAGAUCUGUAUGAAUCAUAGCAAAGUUGUUUCCUGUUUCAGUCAUGUCUUUGGUCACGUUUGGGUGAGUAAAAAACAGCUAAUGAUUGGUUGACAAUAGAGCCUCCCACCAGGCAGGCUAUUGCUGCAGGAUGAAGUUGGUGAAGGGUAACUGCAAAAAAGUUUCAAGUUAAUGCAGUCGACAUGUAGGCGAAGGUCAGAUAAUUUUGAUCCCCAUAAUGCAACACACCUCGAUUUGGUGAUGGUCACCGACUUAACAAAAGUAAUCCGCUUGAUUGCACCCUAUGUGUUUGAGAUGGCGACGAUGAGUAUGAUGUGUCUCCUCUAACGCCCCCUUCCCUGAAAAUCUCACUUAUCUUCAUGUACUCCAGUAACAACUGGUUGGUACAUUUUUUUUUUUACCGCUAAACAGUCUCCAUAUAUACUUCCAUUCAUUUUUUAAAUCUGGUACCGGGGACCUUCAGACGAGUCUUGUGAGCGUCCUAGAGCAGAGCAAAUCAACCAACAUGUAAGUGUUCGCGAGAGUCUCACCUUUCCACCGAGGUCUAACCUUUCCACCUUUCAUAUUAGUGUGUAGCCAAAACUGUUCAAACGCUAUAGACAGAGGUUGGCAGAUCGGCUGUACCAAUCCAAGACGUCCCAAGCAAAACGGAGAACACGAUUCUCAUCUUUCCAUAGAGGGGUCCUAAUAAUUUGUAGGUCAAACCAUUCAGACUACUGACGGUUUUGUGAGAAGACUUUUUGGGAUGUCUCAUGGUCUGACAAACAUUGCUUUGUACACAUGCUUCAAACAUCUGAAAAAACAAUAUUUUUUGUUUAAUAAAAAUAUAAUUCACAGUGGUUUAGAUUAUUCUCUACACUAACCAUUGCUUGUUUAGUCACAAACUGAAAUUAGGUGAACUACUAGAAUUUUAGCAACCAGGAAAUUGGUAUUUCUGCAUAUUGCAACCUUUAAUUGCAGGAAAAUUGUUAAAAUGCAAAAAAAUUCUAGCCAAACAUCUUUCUUGACAGACAUGGGAUUCGAACCAGCAACCCUCCAGUUGCUGGCCUGCCUCCUCUACACCAACCGGUCAAUCGCGAUCGAAUGGUCAAUCUCCAAGGCAUUCCUAGUCGAUCACCAAACAUUUCUGUAAAAAAACAGUGAUAAAGCCUUGCCUUCCUAUUUUUUUUCUUCAUUUCACACCGAUAACGUUAGGUGCACUUGAUUCAGCGGCCCUAGAAGGUAGAACUCCACCUACCAGGAAGUGCCCAAAUAGCAAAGCAAGUGCACCUAUAGGACUACCGCUGUCCAAUCAGAUAGCUCAGAUCACCGUGUCUGCAGUUUCCUUGACUCAGAAAAGGUUGUUGACCACUGCUCUAGGUUAACUACAGUUUUACCAGAGCAGUCUAGUCAUCAGAUAAGGAGCGCCUCCUGUAAGUAUCUUUCUGACUGCGUAUCCUUCCUGGAUUUGGAGUCAGCAUAUUUGUUUAUUAGAAUCCCCAUUAGCUUUUGCAGAGGCAGCAGCUACUCUUCCUGGGGUCUGCAAAAAACACAAAACAUGUCACAAAGUACUAAAAGGCAAGGACAGUCACACACAUUUUUUUUAAAGCAUAACCCUGAGGUUGUGAGUGGACAGAGUACUGUAAUAAACCUCCAGCCCAGAUGGUUCCUCUUUCAUUUGACUCUUUUCUACAGUAAACCCGACUCAGACCUCCUGUUGGGCCACAUAGCUAAGCUACUUGGUACAAUUAUAGAAUGUUUUUCAAUUGUGGGAACAAAGUCAUGAUGCAACAAAGUAAUGAAUCUCCUUGGCAUGACGGGCAUGACCACGACCCCUAACACCAGAGAGAGACUCAGGACCAGCAUCGGGGGAACUUCCUGCUGACUCAAUUACCAGAAUCGCACAUACUUUGGGCAUCUGAGAAGCAUGUGGUGAAAACUGUAAACCUCUAUGACACACAUACUACUGUAAUAGAUUUAAAAUCUUAAAUAAAAUCCUCACCCUAUUCCCAUAACAUGGAGUCAUCAUUUCCCACAUUGUAAAACAUUUAAUUAUGUAAAUUGACUGAAAUGUAUGCUGCUAUUCUUGUUACAGUUGUAUUUUAUGUUCUUAUCUUUUAGGCCUAUGAAUUAAGUGUAGGCAUGUUUAGCUUCUGGGGUGGAGCAUUAGCAGUUUAGCUUCUGGGGUGGAGCAUUAGCAGUUUAGCUUCUGGGGUGGAGCAUUAGCAGUUUAGCUUCUGGGGUGGAGCAUUAGCAGUUUAGCUUCUGGGGUGGAGCAUUAGCAGGCAAUUGGUUUGGAACUUGCUAUGGUUAUUAAAGCACUCUGGCCAGGCCCAACAUCAGGGUUAUGCAUUAAAAAAUACAAAUACAAAUAAAAAAGA